UACGGAGGAUGCGAGCGUUAUCCGGAUUUAUUGGGUUUAAAGGGUGCGCAGGCGGCGAGUUAAGUCAGCGGUAAAAUUUCGGGGCUCAACCCCGACAAGCCGUUGAAACUGGCUUGCUAGAGUGGGCGAGAAGUAUGCGGAAUGCGUGGUGUAGCGGUGAAAUGCAUAGAUAUCACGCAGAACUCCGAUUGCGAAGGCAGCGCACCGGCGCCCUACUGACGCUCAGGCACGAAAGCGUGGGUAUCGAACAGG
rnacentral:rRNA from 1 species